CCAGACGGUUGGUUUGGAUAAGGUAUAGAAGAGGGUUGGCUUUUUAGCUGUGACCGACAUGGAAAUGUUCCCCAGAGGGGUCGUGAUUAACAACAUGUCGAAGAAGGGAGCUUUCCCACACAGCCAGUGGUCCCUAGACUACUGACAAUCUCACACAGAAUCAGACUCACCAGCAUCGAAGAGCGCACUGCCUUCAGACACCAUCAAUCGCACCAGCACAGCAGAUAGAUCCUCAGGCUCUCGCUAGCCAUCCUCGUGUCAGGACAGUGUGGAUACAAUCAACCGACAAAUGUUAGCUUAGGUAUGUCCUUCCACGCUACCCCCACACCUCCCAUUCUCCACACUGUUCCUAUUGCACCACCUUAACUAACCACACUACUAAACCAGGGAUAUCAUGUACAUUCUGGAACUCAACACAUCUCUACCCUGACACCCAUUCACCUCUUUAAAUGGAGAAUCUCCAUCGAACAUGCUUCUUAGUCCAGGACUAGACUUAAUCUGGGUCCAGGAAACUAGCCCCAAUCUCCCCCUCCCCGUUAUGCCAAUCUCAUGCUUUGCCCUCACUCGCUUUAACCUCCCCAUAACCCCUUCCUCCCCACAACAUGGUUGUCUCGCUCCCCUCUGAACAUCCAAUCGAACCCCAACCAAAAGUAGCACUUUGAGAACUUGGAGAGGAACGGAAAGCCCAGGUACAUGGAUGAUAUGUCGUUGUGAGGAUUGUAAAAAAAAAAAAAAGACUAAAUGAAAUGGAGAAGUCCCAGACUGAAAAUGUUGUGCACUAAUAAGUGUUGUUCUGCAUAUUUGUGAUGUCAUACUUCUGGGUUGAAAUGCUGUUUGUCUGACAGAUUGGUCUCCAAUAAAGAUUUUUUUUUGUUUAGAAAGAGACUCAGGACUGAAAGCCCAGAAACGGAGUGAAAGAAAAGACAACUUGGAUAAUUAAAUUUUUUUUUUUUUUUUAAUAAUUAUUGUUUGUUGUUUAGCAUUUGAUUUAAUUUAAGUUAAUGUCUGUGUUGUUGGCGCUUGACUGAUAUGAUGCUUUACUGUGUAAAACAAACAGCUGUAGACACUUUCUGAACGUCUGUGCAGUGUCGGGCUGCGUCCCAAAUGACCCCCUAUUUCUGAUGCAGACUAGGUAUUCGUGAAACUUCACUUUGAUCUCAGCUGGUUUGUACUGUUUGCUCCAGGUGGAAGACACCCCUAAAACACUGAUCUGUGUUCUGCUUAUACUCAACCCAUUAGAUCAAGGUUAAGAUUGGGUAAAAGUAAAAAAGGACCUUUAAUUGAGAGCUUGGGGGAAACGUUACCCAUGAAUUUGCCCGUCUGUCUGUCUUAAUGUAAACAGGAAUAUUAUGUUUUUUUAAGAAAAAAAAAUCUAAAAAUUACAAAACAG
ensembl:lncRNA